rnacentral:rRNA from 1 species
AUUGAACGCUGGCGGCAGGCCUAACACAUGCAAGUCGAGCGAGCGGCGGACGGGUGUGUAAUGUCUGGGAAACUGCCUGAUGGAGGGGGAUAACUACUGGAAACGGUAGCUAAUACCGCAUACCAUCAGAUGUGCCCAGAUGGGAUUAGCUAGUAGGUGGGGUAACGGCUAACCUAGGCGACGAUCCCUAGCUGGUCUGAGAGGAUGACCAGCCACACUGGGACUGAGACACGGUCCAGACUCCUACGGGAGGCAGCAGUGGGGAAUAUUGCACAAUGGGCGCAAGCCUGAUGCAGCCAUGCCGCGUGUAUGAAGAAGGCCUUCGGGUUGUAAAGUGCUUUCAGCGGGAAAGCGUUACCCGAAGAAGAAGCACCGGCUAACUCCGUGCCAGCAGCCGCGGUAAUUC